rnacentral:tRNA from 1 species
GACUUAAUACUUUAAAAUAAAAGAUUUGAGUUGCACCCAAAAAAUAAGUAUAUUCACUUUUAAGUCA